rnacentral:rRNA from 1 species
UGGGGAAUUUUGGACAAUGGGCGAAAGCCUGAUCCAGCAAUGCCGCGUGUGUGAAGAAGGCCUUCGGGUUGUAAAGCACUUUUGUCCGGAAAGAAAUCCUUGGCUCUAAUACAGUCGGGGGAUGACGGUACCGGAAGAAUAAGCACCGGCUAACUACGUGCCAGCAGCCGCGGUAAUACGUAGGGUGCAAGCGUUAAUCGGAAUUACUGGGCGUAAAGCGUGCGCAGGCGGUUUGCUAAGACCGAUGUGAAAUCCCCGGGCUCAACCUGGGAACUGCAUUGGUGACUGGCAGGCUAGAGUAUGGCAGAGGGGGGUAGAAUUCCACGUGUAGCAGUGAAAUGCGUAGAGAUGUGGAGGAAUACCGAUGGCGAAGGCAGCCCCCUGGGCCAACACUGACGCUCAUGCACGAAAGCGUGGGGAGCAAACAGGAUUAGAUACCCUGGUAGUCCACGCCCUAAACGAUGUCAACUAGUUGUUGGGGAUUCAUUUCCUUAGUAACGUAGCUAACGCGUGAAGUUGACCGCCUGGGGAGUACGGUCGCAAGAUUAAAACUCAAAGGAAUUGACGGGGUCAUAGCUGUUU